GUUUUAACAGACUACAGUACCUGACAUCUCUGAAAGGACACUACAGGAUAACCAUGGGUUUGUCUGUUUGGUACAGUAACCAGGACUGUGUUGUCUCAGGGGUAGAGGUUUUAACAGACUACAGUACCUGACAUCUCUGAAAGGACACUACAGGAUAACCAUGGGUUUGUCUGUUUGGUACAGUAACCAGGACUGUGUUGUCUCAGGGGUAGAGGUUUUAACAGACUACAGUACCUGACAUCUCUGAAAGGACACUACAGGAUAACCAUGGGUUUGUCUGUUUGGUACAGUAACCAGGACUGUGUUGACUCAGGGGUAGAGGUUUUAACAGACUACAGUACCUGACAUCUCUGAAAGGACACUACAGGAUAACCAUGGGUUUGUCUGUUUGGUACAGUAACCAGGACUGUGUUGUCUCAGGGGUAGAGGUUUUAACAGACUACAGUACCUGACAUCUCUGAAAGGACACUACAGGAUAACCAUGGGUUUGUCUGUUUGGUACAGUAACCAGGACUGUGUUGACUCAGGGGUAGAGGUUUUAACAGACUACAGUACCUGACAUCUCUGAAAGGACACUACAGGAUAACCAUGGGUUUGUCUGUUUGGUACAGUAACCAGGACUGUGUUGACUCAGGGGUAGAGGUUUUAACAGACUACAGUACCUGACAUCUCUGAAAGGACACUACAGGAUAACCAUGGGUUUGUCUGUUUGGUACAGUAACCAGGACUGUGUUGACUCAGGGGUAGAGGUUUUAACAGACUACAGUACCUGACAUCUCUGAAAGGACACUACAGGAUAACCAUGGGUUUGUCUGUUUGGUACAGUAACCAGGACUGUGUUGUCUCAGGGGUAGAGGUUUUAACAGACUACAGUACCUGACAUCUCUGAAAGGACACUACAGGAUAACCAUGGGUUUGUCUGUUUGGUACAGUAACCAGGACUGUGUUGUCUCAGGGGUAGAGGUUUUAACAGACUACAGUACCUGACAUCUCUGAAAGGACACUACAGGAUAACCAUGGGUUUGUCUGUUUGGUACAGUAACCAGGACUGUGUUGACUCAGGGGUAGAGGUUUUAACAGACUACAGUACCUGACAUCUCUGAAAGGACACUACAGGAUAACCAUGGGUUUGUCUGUUUGGUACAGUAACCAGGACUGUGUUGUCUCAGGGGUAGAGGUUUUAACAGACUACAGUACCUGACAUCUCUGAAAGGACACUACAGGAUAACCAUGGGUUUGUCUGUUUGGUACAGUAACCAGGACUGUGUUGUCUCAGGGGUAGAGGUUUUAACAGACUACAGUACCUGACAUCUCUGAAAGGACACUACAGGAUAACCAUGGGUUUGUCUGUUUGGUACAGUAACCAGGACUGUGUUGUCUCAGGGGUAGAGGUUUUAACAGACUACAGUACCUGACAUCUCUGAAAGGACACUACAGGAUAACCAUGGGUUUGUCUGUUUGGUACAGUAACCAGGACUGUGUUGUCUCAGGGGUAGAGGUUUUAACAGACUACAGUACCUGACAUCUCUGAAAGGACACUACAGGAUAACCAUGGGUUUGUCUGUUUGGUACAGUAACCAGGACUGUGUU